GCGGUAUGCUUUCUUCAAGCAACUGUGUUUUGUUUUGUUUUUAUGGACAACCAAUACAUAACAGAAAACAAAGCUGCUCUGAUUGAAGACAGACAACAGACCUGCCCAGCCUCAAGUUCCCCUUUCUUUCCCUUCCCCAAGAUGUUCCCUAAGAGGGCUCCUCAGAAUCCCCAAGACUUCAAAGAAUGCAGUUUAACACCAACUCAUUUGAUGGUACCAAAUGGAUAAGCAGAAGAUUGUUUGCUGAAACUGAAAAGUGGAUGACACCACUGUGAAAACCUACCAGCCCAGUACAGA
rnacentral:lncRNA from 1 species